rnacentral:rRNA from 1 species
GGCGGCGUGCUUAACACAUGCAAGUCGAACGAUGAUGCCCAGCUUGCUGGGUGGAUUAGUGGCGAACGGGUGAGUAACACGUGAGUAACCUGCCCCUGACUCUGGGAUAAGCGUUGGAAACGACGUCUAAUACUGGAUAUGACUGCCGGCCGCAUGGUCUGGUGGUGGAAAGAUUUUUUGGUUGGGGAUGGACUCGCGGCCUAUCAGCUUGUUGGUGAGGUAAUGGCUCACCAAGGCGACGACGGGUAGCCGGCCUGAGAGGGUGACCGGCCACACUGGGACUGAGACACGGCCCAGACUCCUACGGGAGGCAGCAGUGGGGAAUAUUGCACAAUGGGCGAAAGCCUGAUGCAGCAACGCCGCGUGAGGGAUGACGGCCUUCGGGUUGUAAACCUCUUUUAGUAGGGAAGAAGGGAGCUUGCUCUUGACGGUACCUGCAGAAAAAGCACCGGCUAACUA